rnacentral:tRNA from 1 species
AACAGUGUGGUCUAGUGGAAAGAGCUCUGGCUUGGGAGCCAGAGGACCUGGGUUCUAAUCCCAGCUCUGCCA